AUAUAUUUUAAAUCUGUUCUUAUCAGUUUAAUAUCUGACACGUCCCCUAUCUGGGGACCAUAUAUUAAAUAGAUUUUUGGAACAGGGAGAUGGAAUAGGGGCUUGCUCCGUCCACUCCACGCUUCGACCUGGUAUUGCAGUACCUCCAGGAACGGUGCACCCCCU
rnacentral:snRNA from 1 species